AUAAAAUUAAUAAUUCUAAUCACUUUUUGAUCAAUUUUUUAACAAGUUGUAACUUAGUAUCAGUUAAUCAAAUCUUCAUCAAAAUGAACAAGACCCUUUACUUGAUCGGUUUAAUUGUCAUCUUGGCAACAAUCAGUGUCAACUAUUUAGCCAAUGCAGAUUGUUGGUUCUUUGGCUGUUCUGAUGUCGACAUGUGCGCUAAACGAGGUCUCAUCGCCAGCGACAAGACCGCUUGUGAUGGUGGAUUCGAGUACUUCUGCUGUGACCCAGAGCCUACUGUUGUCGGCGCUUAAAUCGGACGUGAUGGUUAAUUAAAUCCUAGAUUAUUGGUUGGUUAUCAAUGGAAUAGGAUUGUUACCAAACUAUUACUUGAAUUUAUUAAUUGUUACUAAUCAUAGAUUGUCUUUAUUUGUAAGUCUAUGACUCAAUCUAUUUAUUUAGAUGUGAAAAUUGAUCAAAAAUAAAGGUUAAUUAAGUGAUUGCAUUGAGAAAAAUUUUAA